CCCCGGUUAGCUCAAUUGGUAGAGCGUACGACUUUUAAUCGUACGGCUACGGGUUCGAGUCCCGUAUCGGGCU